UACGUAGGGUGCAAGCGUUGUCCGGAAUUAUUGGGCGUAAAGAGCUCGUAGGCGGUUUGUUGCGUCGGCUGUGAAAUCCCGAGGCUCAACCUCGGGUCUGCAGUCGAUACGAGCAAACUAGAGUGUUGCAGGGGAGACUGGAAUUCCUGGUGUGGCGGUGAAAUGCGUAGAUAUCGUAAGGAAGACCAGUGGCGAAGGCGGGUCUCUGGACAGUAACUGACGCUGAGACACGAAAGCCAGGGGAGCGAACGGG
rnacentral:rRNA from 1 species